GAUGAACGCUGGCGGCGUGCCUAAUACAUGCAAGUCGAGCGAACAGACGAGGAGCUUGCUCCUCUGACGUUAGCGGCGGACGGGUGAGUAACACGUGGAUAACCUACCUAUAAGACUGGGAUAACUUCGGGAAACCGGAGCUAAUACCGGAUAAUAUAUUGAACCGCAUGGUUCAAUAGUGAAAGACGGUUUUGCUGUCACUUAUAGAUGGAUCCGCGCCGCAUUAGCUAGUUGGUAAGGUAACGGCUUACCAAGGCAACGAUGCGUAGCCGACCUGAGAGGGUGAUCGGCCACACUGGAACUGAGACACGGUCCAGACUCCUACGGGAGGCAGCAGUAGGGAAUCUUCCGCAAUGGGCGAAAGCCUGACGGAGCAACGCCGCGUGAGUGAUGAAGGUCUUCGGAUCGUAAAGCUCUGUUAUUAGGGAAGAACAAAUGUGUAAGUAACGAUGCACGUCUUGACGGUACCUAAUCAGAAAGCCACGGCUAACUACGUG
rnacentral:rRNA from 1 species